AAGAGUAUACCGUUAUAUUAUAUAACAUACUAUGAUUUUAUUUUAUUUUUGCAUUUUCAAUUUGCUGCUCACGCUCGGUAAAAGCUUAAAACAAAUUAAAAAGGAAAAGGCAAGUGAAUUUACGGAUAAUAAAUAUACUAUUAUAUUAUAUUGUAAACUAUUACAACAUGUUGUUACAAUAUCUUGCAUAUUAUUACAAUAUACCAUAAUAAUAUAUUUGUACACUAUAAUAGUAUACUGUUGUGGUAUAACUAUAUACUCAUAUAGUAUAUUAGUACACUAUAGCGGUAUACUAUUAGAUAGUGUUCUUCGAUGAUUAUUACUGUAGUUGUGUUCUUCUUUGAUUUUCAACUCAAAAUUUCGAUCUCAAUCACCUCAAAUCAGCUCUAAAUCUCGACCAAAUUGACUCAAAAUUAAAAAAAUUCAAGAUAGUAUACUAUUCUACUGUUACUAAAGCAAAAUCAAAUAGGGUACCAAUUAAAUGUAGCUAAUACAACAAAAAAAUAUUUCAGCUAACAUAUGAUAUCAGUAUAGUAUAUAGAUAUACCGACAGAGUAUACAAUUAUACGCAAAGAGUUCAAUUUUUUUAAUUCAAUUAUUAAACUGAAAUAAUAUCAGUUGUCAUAUAAUCUAAUUAACUCAUUGAGAGCUUAUGCAAUGAAUAAU
rnacentral:lncRNA from 1 species